rnacentral:piRNA from 1 species
UCUGAUGUUCUCGUGUCCCUAGUCC